CCACUACUAACCAGUUCUUCUUGUCCCAGCACGGGACGGACAGGUAGUCUGUUCGGGUGGUGAGGUACAUGAGAUGUUGCCACGGGAAAAUUGUCAGCUGCCCGGUUGGUAUGCUGAGUAACCCGGCUCCUGCGGGAGUUACAGAGCGAAUGGAGGUAGCCAGAAAAGUUUAUGCUGCAGUGAGAGUCUGGAAAAAUCCAAGCAGAAAGAUAUGCAGUCUUUUAAUUUUUGGUUCCAAGAUAAUUUGGCUUAAACCUUUUUUCUUUUUUAGGAAGCAGCCAGAUAAAGUAUUCCAGUAGCUGCUCAUGUUAUAGCUAGUAAGAAACAUAAAAGGAUAAAAUCUUAAUCUAGUGCGGGAGAAUGCUCAGCACUUUGUUUACUCAGAACAUUCUGAUUCGUCAUCUAGUGUGGAGAUGGGUUUCCCACCAGACGAGCUGAGAACAUUUAUGAAG